UACAGAGGUCCCAAGCGUUGUUCGGAUUCACUGGGCGUAAAGGGUGCGUAGGUGGUCGGGUAAGUCUGAUGUGAAAGCUCUGGGCUCAACCCAGAAAUGGCAUUGGAUACUAUCUGGCUAGAGGAAUGGAGGGGGGACUGGAAUACUUGGUGUAGCAGUGAAAUGCGUAGAUAUCAAGUGGAACACCAGUGGCGAAGGCGAGUCCCUGGACAUUUCCUGACACUGAGGCACGAAAGCUAGGGGAGCAAACAGG
rnacentral:rRNA from 1 species